rnacentral:piRNA from 1 species
AUGCCGACACAUCACAGCAUCUGCCUGC